CAAUAGCGUAUAUUUAAGUUGUUGCAGUUAAAAAGCUCGUAGUCGGAUUUUGGCUGAGAACGAUCGGUCCGCCGUUAGGUGUGCACUGAUUGGUCUCAGCUUCCUGGUGAGGAGGUGUGCUUCACGGCCACUUAGUCACCGUGGUUACUUUGAAAAAAUUAGAGUGUUCAAAGCGGGCUUACGCUUGAAUAUAUUAGCAUGGAAUAACACCAUAGGACUCCUGUCCUAUUUCGUUGGUCUCGGGACGGGAGUAAUGAUUAAGAGGAACAGUUGGGGGCAUUCGUAUUUCAUUAUCAGAGGUGAAAUUCUUGGAUUUAUGAAAGACGAACUUCUGCGAAAGCAUUUGCCAAGGAUGUUUUCAUUGA
rnacentral:rRNA from 1 species